rnacentral:rRNA from 1 species
GACGGAGGAUGCAAGUGUUAUCCGGAAUCACUGGGCGUAAAGGGUGCGUAGGCGGGUCUUUAAGUCAGGGGUGAAAUCCUGGAGCUCAACUCCAGAACUGCCUUUGAUACUGAAGAUCUUGAGUUCGGGAGAGGUGAGUGGAACUGCGAGUGUAGAGGUGAAAUUCGUAGAUAUUCGCAAGAGCACCAGUGGCGAAGGCGGCUCACUGGCCCGAUACUGACGCUGAGGCACGAAAGCGUGGGGAGCAAACAGG